rnacentral:miRNA from 2 species
AAGAGAGCUAUCUGUCGACAGU